rnacentral:rRNA from 1 species
AACCGACACAGGUAGGCGAGGAGAGAAUCCUAAGGUGAUCGAGAGAACUCUCGUUAAGGAACUCGGCAAAAUGACCCCGUAACUUCGGGAGAAGGGGUGCUCUGUUAGGGUGCAAGCCCGAGAGAGCCGCAGUGAAUAGGCCCAGGCGACUGUUUAGCAAAAACACAGGUCUCUGCGAAGCCGUAAGGCGAAGUAUAGGGGCUGACGCCUGCCCGGUGCUGGAAGGUUAAGAGGAGCGCUUAGCGUAAGCGAAGGUGCGAAUUGAAGCCCCAGUAAACGGCGGCCGUAACUAUAACGGUCCUAAG